AAAACGAUAAACCUUAGGUUUCCGUGUCAAAUAUUUGACUGUCCGUCUUAUAUGAAUUUUUUUAUAAUUAGUAUCUUCAUUGUUGUUAGAUGAUAAAAUAUAAUUAAUACUUUAUGACUUGUUUUUUUUAUUUUAUUUAUAUUUUUUUAAAUAAAACGGACGGUCGACACGGAAAUUCAGGGUUUGUCUUUUU
rfam:Oryza glumipatula chromosome 6, whole genome shotgun sequence.